ensembl:lncRNA
AUGCACCCCAAAUUUUCCUUUUCUUUCCCCAAAUCCUUUUCAGAACCCAAAAUCCCGAAUUCUAACCCCAAAUUUUCCUUUUCUUCCCAAAUCCCCUCCCUGCACCCCAAAUUUUCCUUUUCUUUCCCCAAAUCCUUUUCAGAACCCAAAAUCCCAAAUUCUAACCCCAAAUUUUUCCUUUUCUUCCCCCAAAUUCUUACCAGAACCCAAAUUCUAACCCCAAAUUUUCCUUUUCUUCCCCCAAAUCCUUCCCAGAACCCCAAAUUUUCCUUUUCUUUCCCCAAACCCUUUCGAGAACCCCAAAUCCUCCUUUUCUUCCCCCAAACCCUUUCCAGAACCCAAAAUUCUCAUUUUCUUCCCUCAAAUCCUUUUCAGAACCCCAAAUUCUCAUUUUCUUCCCCCAAAUCCCCUCCCUGCAUCCCAAAUUUUCCUUUUCUUCCCCCAAAUCCUUUUCAGAAUCCAAAAUCCCAAAUUCUAACCCCAAAUUCUCCUUUUCUUCCCCCAAAUCCUUUUCAGAACCCCAAAUUUUCCUUUUCUUCCCCCAAAUCCUUUUCAGAACCCAAAAUCCCAAAUUCUAACCCCAAAUUUUCCUUUUCUUCCCUCAAAUCCUUUCCAGAACCCCAAAUUCUCAUUUUCUUCCCCCAAAUCCCAAAUUCUAACCCCAAAUUUUCCUUUUCUUCCCCCAAACCCUUUCCAGAACCCCAAAUUCUCUUUUUCUUCCCCCAAAUCUCCUCCCUGCACCCCAAAUUUUCCUUUUCUUGCCCCAAAUCCUUUUCAGAAUCCCAAAUUUUCCUUUUCUUCCCCCAAACCCUUUCGAGAACCCCAAAUCCUCCUUUUCUUCCCCCAAAUCCCCUCCCCGCACCCCAAAUCCUCCUUUUCUUCCCCCAAAUCCUUCCCAGAACCCCAAAUCCCCUCCCUGAACCCCAAAUCCCCUCAAUCUCCCCCAAAUUCUCAUUUUCUUCUCCCAAACCCCCUCAAACUCCCCCAAAUCCUCUCCCCGCACCCCAAAUUUUCCUUUUCUCCCCCCAAACCCCUCCCAGAACCCCAAAUCCCCUCAAUCUCCCCCCAAAUCCCUGACUUCCACCCCAAAUCUUCAUUUUCUUCCCCCAAAUCAUUUCCAGAACCCCAAAUCCCCUCCCCGCACCCCAAAUCCCCUCCCCGCACCCCAAACCCCCCCGAUCUCCCCGAAAUCCUCCUUUUCUUCCCCCAAACCCUUUCGAGGACCCCAAAUCCUCCUUUUCCUCCCCCAAAUCCCCUCCCCGCACCCCAAAUCCUCCUUUUCUCCCCCCAAACCCUUUCGAGAACCCCAAAUUUUCCUUUUCUUCCCCCAAACCCUUUCCAGAACCCCAAAUUUUCAUUUUCUUCCCCCAAAUCCCCUCCCCGCACCCCAAACCCCCCCGAUCUCCCCCAAAUUUUCCUUUUCUCCCCCCAAACCCUUUCGAGAACCCCAAAUUUUCCUUUUCUUCCCCCAAAUCCCCUCAAGCCCCCCUCCCCUCCCCAUUCCCCUCACGCCCCCUCCCCACCCUCCCCCCGCCCCCAAUCCCCCCCAAACCCCCUCCCAUCCCCCCCAAACCCCCUCCCAUCCCCCCCAAACCCCCCCCAAUCCCCCCCAAACCCCCCUCCCCACCCCAAACCCCCCUCCCCACCCCCUCCCGCCCCCCAAAACCCCCUCAGGACCCCCAAAAUCCCCCCGAUCCCCCCUCAGGCCGGGCCCCGCCGCCAUUUUACCGCGGCCGCUCCGCUCCCCGCGCGCGGGGCACGCCGGGUAGCGCCGCCUACCGGGGGGGAGGACCCGCGCCGCGCGCGCCGUUGCCAGGCGACGCCGCCGCCGUGGCCACGCCCCC